rnacentral:lncRNA from 1 species
AUGGUCCUCAUAAUCUUCUUAACGAGCUUCAUACUGGACAAUGCGACGGGUACGCUUCUUGUAAAGGAUUCUGUAACCACAAUCCCGGCACUGAAUAACAUCGCCUGACUUCAGUGUAUUCUCCACUCCACAGUCACCACAGAGGUAACUCACAGGCUCAGGCAGAGGAUCCAUCACUGGAAUUGGUAAUUGAUGAAUUGUAACGAAAGAGAGGGUUCUCU